rnacentral:rRNA from 1 species
AACGAGCGCUGGCGGCAUGCCUAACACAUGCAAGUCGAACGAGACCUUCGGGUCUAGUGGCGCACGGGUGCGUAACGCGUGGGAACCUGCCCUUAGGUUCGGAAUAACUCCCCGAAAGGGGUGCUAAUACCGGAUAAUGUCUUCGGACCAAAGAUUUAUCGCCUUUGGAUGGGCCCGCGUUGGAUUAGCUAGUUGGUAGGGUAAAAGCCUACCAAGGCGACGAUCCAUAGCUGGUCUGAGAGGAUGAUCAGCCACACUGGGACUGAGACACGGCCCAGACUCCUACGGGAGGCAGCAGUGGGGAAUAUUGGACAAUGGGCGAAAGCCUGAUCCAGCAAUGCCGCGUGAGUGAUGAAGGCCUUAGGGUUGUAAAGCUCUUUUACCCGGGAUGAUAAUGACAGUACCGGGAGAAUAAGCUCCGGCCAACUCCGUG